CCUACGGGAGGCUGCAGUGGGGAAUAUUGGACAAUGGGGGGAACCCUGAUCCAGCCAUGCCGCGUGUGUGAAGAAGGCCCUCGGGUUGUAAAGCACUUUCAGUGAGGAAGAACGCCUGGUGGUUAAUACCCAUCAGGAAAGACAUCACUCACAGAAGAAGCACCGGCUAACUCCGUGCCAGCAGCCGCGGUAAUACGGAGGGUGCGAGCGUUAAUCGGAAUUACUGGGCGUAAAGCGCGCGUAGGUGGCUUGAUAAGCCGGUUGUGAAAGCCCCGGGCUCAACCUGGGAACGGCAUCCGGAACUGUCAAGCUAGAGUGCAGGAGAGGAAGGCAGAAUUCCCGGUGUAGCGGUGAAAUGCGUAGAGAUCGGGAGGAAUACCAGUGGCGAAGGCGGCCUUCUGGACUGACACUGACACUGAGGUGCGAAAGCGUGGGUAGCAAACAGGAUUAGAUACCCCAGUAGUC
rnacentral:rRNA from 1 species